rnacentral:lncRNA from 1 species
UUUUAGCACUCACUAAAGUCCUCUACUAUAACUCAGGAGAAGAAGAUAGACUUUUAGCACUCACUAAAGUGCUCUACUAUAACUCAGGAGGAGAAGAUAGACUUUUAGCACUCACUAAAGUGCUCUACUAUAACUCUGGAGAAGAUAGACUUUUAGCACUCACUAAGUCCUCUACUAUAACUCAGGAGAAGAUAGACACUCACUAAAGUCCUCUACUAUAACUCAGGAGAAGAUAGACACUCACUAAAGUCCUCUACUAUAACUCAGGAGAAGAUAGACUUUUAGCACUCACUAAAGUCCUCUACUAUAACUCUGGAGAAAAUAGACUUUUAGUACUCACUAAAGUCCUCUACUAUAACUCUGGAGAAGAUAGACUUUUAGCACUCACUAAAGUCCUCUACUCCAAAGCCUCCAUUUUGGGUCUGUGUGUGUCUCUGUGUGGCUUCUAGAGGAAGUGGUGCUCCAGCAAACUAGUUUCCUGCAGCCCCCCCUGAACACACACAGCGAGAAGAGGGGGAAAGCAACACACACACAACACACACAAAAAAAAGGUUAGCGAGUGAAGAAAAUGGCGAUGGUACAGGACAAAUGGCUCCUCUCGUAAAAGCGGCAAAUGCGUUGAAUUUCUUUAGUCUUUAGCCGGCUUCCAUUUCCACUCUGUUGUUGCACUUUAUAUUGUAUGAGAGCUCAAUACAACACAAUACAAGCUGUUACCAACGAAGAAACAAACUCAAGAGUCAAAACAGGAAACCAGCCCAUAGAAGACAGAACAGUGGAUGGACCAGCGAGAGACAGACAGUGAAGAGGAAGGAGUAUAAGAUAAAGAGGGCUGGUCAACAGCGUCAGAACAUAUCAAAUCCAGGCAGACUCCUCCUCCUUGGCCUGCCAAUCUGAACGAAACGUCCCCACUACACACACACACACACACACACACACACUGCUCCGAGCAUCUUCAGAGAUGCCAACAGGGUCCCAGCCAGCUGCCAGCCCCUCUCCCAGCCUGCCCCUGUGUGCCCGGCCCUGAGCCCUGACCACAAGCUGACCCCGUGGCUGUAGGAGCCCCACCCCCCAGUGCAGCUGUCCUCCACACAGCCAGGCGGCGCCCUGACCCGGACAGGCAGCGCUACUAACAGGUAAUACAAUGUAGAUUUAGAUUACUGUAAACGUACCUUGACUACAUCUGAAAUGGAUCUCUGUUUAGUCCCCUAACUGUUAUAAACAUUACCUCACCUGGACUACAUCUGGAUCUCUGUUUAGUCCACUAACUGUCAACACUAAGGUCCUCUAUGCCUCAGUGGGUUAGUACUGUCAACACUAAGGUCCUCUGGCUCAGUAGGUUAGAACUGUCAACACUAAGGUCCUCUAUGGCUCAGUAGGUUAGUACUGUCAACACUAAGGUCCUCUAUGUCUCAGUAGGUUAGUACUGUCAACACUAAGGUCCUCUAUGGCUCGGUAGGUUAUCACUGUCAACACUAAGGUCCUCUAUGGCUCAGUAGGUUAGUACUGUCAACACUAAGGUCCUCUAUGGCUCAGUAGGUUAGUACUGUCAACACUAAGGUCCUCUAUGGCUCAGGAUGGUGGUCUGUUUGAAACAUGUUGGUAUUACAGACUCGGUCAGCGAGUGGUUUGAAAAUGUCAGUGAAGACCAGUUUGCCAGUUUGUCCGCGCAAACUCUGAGUCCACGUUCCUGGUAAUCCGUCUGGCCCUGCGUCCUUGGGAAUGUUGACCUGUUUAAAAGUGUUGCUCACGUCGGCUACAGAGAGCGUGAUCACACAGUCAUCCGGAACAGCUUGUGCUCUCAUGCAUGCUUCAGUGUUGCUUGCCUCGAGGCGAACAUCAAAGGCAUUUAGCUCGUCUGGUAGGAUCGAUUCACUGGGCAGCUCGCGGCCGG